rnacentral:rRNA from 1 species
CCGGCACGGGUGAGUAACACGUAUCCAACCUGCCGUCUACUCUUGGCCAGCCUUCUGAAAGGAAGAUUAAUCCAGGAUGGCAUCAUGAGUUCACAUGUCCGCAUGAUUAAAGGUAUUUCCGGUAGACGAUGGGGAUGCGUUCCAUUAGAUAGUAGCGGGGUAACGGCCCACCUAGUCAACGAUGGAUAGGGGUUCUGAGAGGAAGGUCCCCCACAUUGGAACUGAGACACGGUCCAA